CAUGAGGCCCUCACCAGAUACAGCCACCUGAUCUUGGACUUCACAGCCUCCAGAAAUAUGCCCUGGAAUACACUUGUGUCAGUGACAAAUGCUGCUUUGCUGUGCUACAUCGAGUACAAGAGAAAUACAUGGGCUAUCUUCAGCACAGAACACAAACUCUGCCUUCUUUUCUCAAGUCCAGUGAUUCAAGUUUGACACACCACACCACGGUGGAUGUGCCUUGUCAUGACACAUCUUCUCAGCAGCACUAGAAGAUACAUCCAAAGUCCUGUGAGCAAGGACACAGCGAGAAGAUGGCUGUCUACAAGCCAGGAAGAGAGUCCUCACCAGAACCAAACCCUGCUGGACUUUGAUCUUGGACUUCCCAGCCUCUAAAACUGUGAAGACAUAAAUUUCUGUUGUUAAACCCA
rnacentral:lncRNA from 10 species